AAUUUGGGAACGAGAUGCCCGGGGAUGCAACCAGCCCCGCGCUCGGAGGCGGCGGUCGGAGUUCCGUGCGCAGAGGGCACACAAAAGCCUCGAGGAUCAUUGCCUCGACCCCAUCCCCCACCGCGCGGCGACGCCCCCUACGGGCUGGGACACCUCCACUCUCGGACUGCUGCCGGGUUUCCCUCCGGCUGCGACCCUGGAGAGUUUGCCAUCUCCGUACCACCACCACCACCACACACAGCACCCUCAAGACUCCCUGUGAUCCUGGGAUGCACUCAACGAAGAGUGUGUGGCCCAGGAUUUGAUGGAAAUGCUACAAGAGAAGCAGGCUCUCCCCUUCUGAAAUGAUGAGUGAUAAUGACCAUACAGGUCAACUUUUCCACCACUUGGAGGGAGCCUGUCAAAGAACAAAGGCAACAGAGAAGAGAGCAGAGCUGAGGUUGGGUGAGAGGGAGAAAUUCCUGAGUGCUUGAAUCCCACAUGCCGGAAGCCGCACCACACUUGGACUUCUCAAUACAGGAGCCACUGAGAAACCAAGUCAUGCUGAAGACCUGGAAAUCCCAGCAGGCUGCAAACCAGCUGCAACUACAAUGGGUCAGCCCUUUUGAGAUGCUGCUGACUACCCACUUAUCUGCCAAGUUAGCCAGUGUUAAGCCAUGGAUUCACCACGCUCAGAUAAAACCUGCCCCUCUGGGAUCCCUCCAGAAAAAAACAGGCAUGCUGUUGUGAACCCUAAGAUGGCCUUAAGUUAAUAUUCAAUGCCCAGCCAAAGACCCUAAAUAAGAAGUCAUAAAGGAAACAUGUGCUUUUCAGGUACCAAUCACCCUCCAGAUCUAAGAAUGGCUUCAGGCUGGGGCUGCAGUCACCUCUUUGCCCAGCUUCUCCCCUGCCCUAUUCUGCUUCACUUGCAUCCUUAAAGGUUCCACCCAAGAGCUCUUCUACAAGAAAGCACCUAUAAAGCCAGACACAUUGGCUUAUGCCUAUAAUCCUAGCACUUUGGGAGGCCAAGGUAGGAGGAUGGCUUGAGGCCAGGAGUUCAAGACCAGCCUGGGCAACUUAGUGAGGCCCCGUCUCUAUAAAAAAUAAAAAAAUUAACCAGGUGUGGUGGUGCACGUCUCUAGUCUCAGCUACUCAGGAGGCUGUGGCAGGAAGAUGGCUUGAGCCCAGGAGGUUGAGGCUGCAGUGAACUAAGAUCAUGCCACUGCACCCAUCUUGGGCAACAGAAUGAGAUCCUGUCUCUAAAAAAAUAAAAACAAUUUACAACAGUAAGCACCUGUACACAAGCCCCAUCUCCAGUCCUGUUUCUAGGGCUUCCAAUUUAACACACCUAGAGGCUGGGCAUAGUAGCUCAUGCCUGUAAUCCCAAUACUUUGGGAGGCUGAGGCAAGUGAAGCACUUGAGGUCAGGAGUUCGAGACCAGCCUGGCCAACAUGGCAAAACCCCAUCUCUACUAAAAAUGCAAACAUUAGCUGGGCAUGGUGGCACAUGCCUGUAAUCCCAGCUACUCGGGAGGCUGAGACAGGAGAAUCACUUGAACCCAGGAGGUGGAGGUUACAGUGAGCCAAGAUCACACCACUGUACCACAGCCUGAGCAACGAAAGAAGACUCUGUCUAAAAAAAGUAAAAAAUAAAAUAAAACACACCUGGAGCUUUCU
rnacentral:lncRNA from 1 species